rnacentral:rRNA from 1 species
UACCAGCACCCCGAGUGGUCGGGACGUUUUAUUGGGCCUAAAGCAUCCGUAGCCGGUUCUACAAGUCUUCCGUUAAAUCCAACUGCUUAACAGGUGGGCUGCGGAAGAUACUAUAGAGCUAGGAGGCGGGAGAGGCAAGCGGUACUCGAUGGGUAGGGGUAAAAUCCGUUGAUCCAUUGAAGACCACCAGUGGCAAAGGCGGCUUGCCAGAACGCGCUCGACGGUGAGGGAUGAAAGCUGGGGGAGCAAACCGG